CUGGGAGGUGAAGAGGGAGGGAGUGACCCCCCCGCGCCCCCUCAGUCCCCCUACUACGUCGCCUCCAUAGCCUGCGGAGAAGCGGGGACCGCGCGCAUCGCAGCGCAUCGCCUCACAGCGGAACGCCGCGCACUCGGAGCCGGCGCGGCUCGGCGGAUUUUGGUUUUUUUGCACUGAAUGUAGUCUAGACUCAUCUUCACGGGCUUGUGUUGCCCCAGGAUACUGUCAAAGGCAGUAUUUGUGUGUUUCUGCAGAGUUUUGCACAGAGUCUGUUCCCAUGCAAACCAAUGAGGGAGAAGUGUCGGAAGAAAGCAGUUCCAAGGUCAGUGAAUUACUAAAGAUGCAAACAGUUUGGGUAGAAAUUUAAAACAGGCACUGGAUGAGUAGAGUGGGUGUUUUGUUUUAGGUAAAUUUAGAAAUUAGCUUGAUUUAAAUUAAAACCUAACCUAAAGGUGAGAAGAUUUUUUCUUCUUGAUAACCAUUUUUUGUUAUGCUCCAUGACCAACUUAAAACAAAUUUUACUGAACUCAAAGAGAACUUUGUUUCAUUUAUGUAAUGAUAGCACUUUAUCUUUUAAUGUUUUAUUGUGUAAAUUAUACAUUCUUAUUUUAAGAA
rnacentral:lncRNA from 1 species